AGAGUUUGAUCAUGGCUCAGAUUGAACGCUGGCGGAAUGCUUUACACAUGCAAGUCGAACGGCAGCACGGACUUCGGUCUGGUGGCGAGUGGCGAACGGGUGAGUAAUAUAUCGGAACGUAUCCAAUAAUGGGGGAUAACUAAUCGAAAGGUAGGCUAAUACCGCAUACGCCCUACGGAGGAAAGCUGGGGACCUUCGGGCCUGGCGUUAAUGGAGCGGCCGAUAUCUGAUUAGCUAGUUGGUGAGGUAAAGGCUCACCAAGGCGACGAUCAGUAGCUGGUCUGAGAGGACGACCAGCCACACUGGAACUGAGACACGGUCCAGACUCCUACGGGAGGCAGCAGUGGGGAAUUUUGGACAAUGGGCGAAAGCCUGAUCCAGCCAUUCCGCGUGAGUGAAGAAGGCCUUCGGGUUGUAAAGCUCUUUCGCAAGGGAAGAAAGAUUACUCUCUAACAUAGAGUGAUUAUGACGGUACCUUGAUAAGAAGCACCGGCUAACUACGUGCCAGCAGCCGCGGUAAUACGUAGGGUGCGAGCGUUAAUCGGAAUUACUGGGCGUAAAGCGUGCGCAGGCGGUUUUGUAAGUCAGAUGUGAAAUCCCCGAGCUCAACUUGGGAACUGCGUUUGAAACUACAAGACUAGAAUAUGUCAGAGGGGGGUAGAAUUCCACGUGUAGCAGUGAAAUGCGUAGAGAUGUGGAGGAGUACCAAUGGCGAAGGCAGCCCCCUGGGAUAAUAUUGACGCUCAUGCACGAAAGCGUGGGGAGCAAACAGGAUUAGAUACCCCGGUAGUCC
rnacentral:rRNA from 1 species